CGGGUGGGCUCUGUGAGGAAAACGGGAUGAGAACGGUCACGGAUACUCCCUCUCUGGCCUCUAGGUCAUCAGGCUGCUGAUUAUUCCGCACGCCUGUCACCAUCGUCAAGCCCACCAGCGCCUCAUAACACUCACCUGGACUCCAUGACUUCCUUGAUUAUCUUCCCUAUAUCCGUCACCCCUCUUGGUUUUUUCCUCAGUUGUUAUUGACCUUGUUUCAUGUCGGUACGUUGUUAGUGUUUCCUGUUUGUUUAUUUAUUAAAACACUCACGCCCUGUACUUGCUUCCCGACUCUCAGCGCAAAGAACGGCCACCAGAAUGGCAGGAGCACGACUACCACUUGAUAAAGUGGAAUAUCGCAGGCGCCCCGUGAAUGAGGCGUUUGGUAAAAAUCUCUGGGGGUUGUUGCAGAGAAAGUCACAAAAUGUAGAACAGGCGCCAGCACAUGAUGCAGCAUUGUGUCUUACCCUUUCAUGUGGCUCUUCAUGGCGGAUCCACCCAUGCUUGCAAAGUCUGACGCAUUAUAUUGCACCUUACACGGUGUGGGUUAGGUUGAGUCCGGUGACUUAGUGGGGGGGAAGAAGGUGGGUAAAUACUGAACAAAAAUAUAAAACGCAACAUGUGAAGUGUUGGUCCCAUUUUCAUAUUGCCACAAAAGGCAGCAUUGAAUCCACAUUUGCCCGGUAUUUUAGCUAUCAAUGUGACGUUCUACCUGCCUGGCUGAGUGGCAGUGUGGGUGGAAUGACCGACCUCGACUGGCAACCACAGCGCGAAACAACUGAGGAAAUACAACUAGAUUAUGCUGAUGCUCCACCGUAAGAACCUGGAGAUCUUCACUGGUUCUGAGGGAGGUGACGUGGCCACAAACAGUGCCUGGGACACCUUCAGCUCUACCGCUGUCUAGAGAACAGUCGGAGGGUGGUCAAGACAUCUGCCACAACUUUGUGUCAGCUCUGCUUCACCUGGGAGCUAAAGGGUAGCUACCUAUUGCCUUGAUGACGGCUUUGCACACUCUUGGCAUUCUCUCAACCAGCUUCAUGAGGAAUGCUUUUCCAACAGUGUUGAAGGAGUUCCCACAUAUGCUGAGCACUUGUUG
rnacentral:lncRNA from 1 species